GACGAACCGUGCGAACGUUAUUCGGAAUCACUGGGCUUAAAGGGCGCGUAGGCGGGCGCACAAGUCAGGGGUGAAAGCCCACGGCUCAACCGUGGAAGAGCCUUUGAUACUGUGUGUCUGGAGGGAGGUAGGGGCGUGCGGAACUUCCGGUGGAGCGGUGAAAUGCGUAGAUAUCGGAAGGAACACCGGUGGCGAAAGCGGCGCGCUGGACCUCUUCUGACGCUGAGGCGCGAAAGCCAGGGGAGCAAACGGG
rnacentral:rRNA from 1 species